rnacentral:lncRNA from 1 species
CCCAUACUUAUAUAUAGCAUGGCUAUAGUCCCACCCAAAGUUUUAGCCCAUUUGAACCCAUAAUAAUAGAACAGAGAGUGAUCCAAGCCCACCCAAUGGAAAAGAAAGAGACAGAUCGGGUCAAGUUUGCGUUGAGAACCAAAGUUGCAUGAUGAUCGAAGAGAUCGCAGGAGAGUCCAAUCGAUAAGCAGAGAUCCGAUCCGUAAUUUGACGAGUGAUGAGAGAAAUAAUAGCUUCUGGUGAUCGAAAUUGUUGGUUGUGAAGCCUCUUAUUCCUCUCCUGCCAAAUCCAAUAAAUCGAUGAUUGCCAACAGAGAAGGGUAAGUCGUUUCUUGUAUUUGUUUCCUUGAAGAGAUUGCAUUUGAAUCAUGGUCUGAUCCCAGUUCUGGAGCGGUUGCAGGUCACAUCUCCUCCCAAUUUCCUCCCAUAUUGCAAAGCUGAAGGGGCAGUGAAAGUAUAAGUGAUCUCUAGUUUCAGGCUCCUGGUUGCAGAGCAGGCAAACAACAUCCGUCUGGAGACCCCAGCUCCGGAGGCGGUCUCUGGUAGGGCAUCGAUUCAAGACGAACAGCCAAGUGAGAAAACUAUGUCGAGGGAUGCCUCCUGUAAUCCAAACGCUUUGAGCCCAUGGUACUGUUGCUUCCUGACCCCUUAGUUUCUUAUAAACCUGACUAGUGUUAAAUCUUGAUUUCGGCUUGUCAUCAAUCACCCAUUCAUAGCAAUCUUCUGUAUCAGUAAGAGCAAAUGUAGUGAAAAAGAUGUGGAGUUGUACCAUUUUUUCUGACCGCGCCGGGGGAAUCAUCCAUCUCCCAUCAAUAAAGAGGUCUGAAACAGUGGAGUUUGCAUCAAUGCCCAUACGAGAAGUUUGAUCGGUCAGUAUAAAUUGCGAGAGCUUCCCAAAGGGGGACCAGUUGUCCGACCAGAAUCUACAGGAUUCACCAUUUCCCACUUUCAUCUUUAUCCAGGUAAAGACUUCAUCUCUCAACUUGAAUAGCUUGUUAGCCAACCAAGAGUUUGUUGUUGUCGCUUUCAUAGUCCAGAAGUUAGAUAGGGAACCUUUUAAAACCUCAGUCUUGAACCAUCCAACCCAUAUCGAUCCUGCUUGAAAGAACAACAACCAAAUUAGUUUUAAACAGCAAGCCUUGUUCCAAGUAACUAGAUCCUUCACUCCCAAUCCUCCACUAGCUUUUUCCUUAGUCACCACCUCCCACGAGACCUUUGUUCUUUUCUUUGUUUGAUUUUAGUUGCAUUCAUCCAGUAAUAUAAUGAAGUUGACAUUAAUCGAUGUCGUCUCUUUGUAUGAACUUACGUAUUGAGGCUGGUGAGUAUUCUUACAGAGGGUUGUAUAGAAAUUUGAAGAAAAUAGCAUUAAUUAAAACCUCCGAAAUAGUGAAAUAUUUAAUUAGAAUAACAUAACUAUAAUAAUAAUAGCAAUAAUUAAAGAGGGGUGCAUGAACUUUAUCCUGUCACAGAGAACAUGAGAAUUUAUCCGAAUAAAAAGAGAGACUGGAGAGACAUUAUUUUUCUUUAAAAAGGAGCAUUGAAGAAAAGAUAAUGCGAAUUAAUUCAUAUCUAUCUUUUUUCAUACAUGAACAAUAUAAUAAUAAAAAGAGAGAAGAUAGAAAUGUGUCAGGAGAAUACAGAGCACUUGUUCAAUAAACUGUAAGAUACUACAAGAAAGUGAUCUAUAAAACCUAAUAUCAAGGUUAUAGUAAUGCUCGAGUAGAGAUAAGGAUUUCAUAUAUAAUCAUCAGAAACUAUCAGCUGUAAUCUUGGGACGUUUGUGCGGUUUCUUGGGUACUACUGUUAUUUUAACGAUUAAAUAUUUAGUUUUGUCGGCAAUCGUGAUUGAUAGUAAUGUAAAUUGUGGUGUUAAUAAGGAGCAACAAGAAUAGAUGAUGCUUGGGACAUGAACACAGCUGUAUCACUACCUUGCCUUAGGAGGCAACCUACCCCAAUCUUUUUAUUCUCUUUUUUUUUUUGCCACGAACCCCAAUCUUUUUUAGAAUUUUAUGCUAUUUGCUUCGAAGAUCCCAAUGUUUGUUAUUUUAAGACAGUGCCCACACUCAACGAAACAAAAGAGUCGGUAGUGAUUACAAUGUAUUACAGCCUAGAUUGCUAUGAAAUCUACUUUGUAAGUUUCAUUCUGAAAAAAGGUUUCACAUAACUGUGUUAAUCGAUCUAUGUCGUAAACGGCUGUAAAUAAUCGACGCUAAUAUUUUUUU